AGGUGAUACUCUUCUGAGUUACACAAACAUCAGCCAUAUUAUUAUUUAGGAUAAAUGAAAACCAUAUCCAGGAAAAAUGAUACAAAAACUCCAUUUUAAUUUAAAAUUAUUAAAUUUAGUUUUCAUUACUCUUUUGACUUUCCAAUCUUGUCCUUCACUGUACGCAUAUGCAUAUAUAUUUUUCUUCUUCUUUCUUAAUUCAUUUCCUUUUCCUCCUUCCCUAACAGCACCACCACCUCCAACCGCCGCACCACCAUGAACCACCACCAGUUUCAGAUCUAAUACCAACCUUCUUUUUUCUGCUACUACCAUUUACAUCGCCACCAACAGUACCUCCGCGACCACCAACCAGUUACGACGUUCAGAUCUAACAUCAACACCAGAUCCUCUCAAUCCCAUCCUCCUCCCCCUUCACCACCAGUAGCAACACCUUCUCCUUAUUCUUCUGUACCUCUAGCAAAUCCACACCUUCUUCUCCUUGUUUUCUUCUUCCCCCAACCCCACUAGCAACACCUCCUCUUCUUCCUCCUUUUCCUCCACCACCACAAGCAAUAAAAGUUGAAUUGAUUGAUAGCAAUACGAUUGAAUCUGAGAGUGAGCCGAAAUGAUUCAUGUAUUUGAGUAUUAUUACAAACUCAAUUAGAGAAACCAAGGUGGUGAUGGUGGCGAAUUGAUCUCAUGGUGGAAAUGAACCAUUGACGGAUUCAAUUUCAUCUGCUGGUGUUUGUCUUGGGAGAAACGAUGAAUUUUAAUGGUAAUUUGAAGUUGGUAGGAAAGGAUUCAGAGCCGAAGAUUCGUCUACCCCCUUCAACGAAAAGAUGUGAAAGACCUAAAGGAUCUAAUAUCGAUCAUAUAUCCCAGAAUCGAGGAAAUGGGCGUCCCGAUACCAAACUAUAUGACCGAGAGAACGAUUUUGUGCCUGUGGAACGAUGAUGUAACGGUAAUCAACCAAUUGAUGUGCAACGUUAUUGAGGCAAAAACUACUCAUACCUAGCCACGGAAAAGUCAGGGGAGAAUUUGGAUAAGGGAUCCGUCAGCAGAGGACGUUGUACAAAUGAAACAUUCAACGACCAGAAUCCCGCACAUUGUCCAAAUGAAACAUUGUACCAGAAGAAUCCCCCGGGAUUACCACCGUUCAAAUUGGACCUGAAAGUUGGAUGCCCUGUUAUGCUGCUAUGAAAUAUCGCACCCACCAAUGGACUAUGUAACGGCACCAUGAUGAGGGUACAAAUAUGCAUGGAUCAUGUGAUUGUGGCAACAACAUUGACGAGAGAUAAAUCUGGAGAGGUGGUUUUUACUUCGCGUAUUUCCUUGACACCGUCUACAUCAGAUAUCGCAGUGCGAAUGACAAGAAGAUAGUUCCCCAUCAAGUUGGCUUAUGCAAUGACCAUUAACAACUCACAAGGUCAAUCCGUAAAAUACGUCGGCAUCGAUUUGAGGAUCCCAGUUUUCAUCCAUGCCCAGCUUUACGUAGCGCUAUCAAGAUGCACAGACGCAAAAAGGAUUUCCUUUUUGCUUCCAAAAGAAACAAAACGAGUGAGGAAAUAGAUAAUGUGGUCUUCUCGGAAGUUCGCACAUAUAGUUAUUUUCCAUCUUAUAAAAGGGCGUGGUUAAUAUUUUAAGACCGAAGAUACUCGAGGCUUUCGCUUAGCAUAUGUAUGUAUUAUAGAUAACCUUGGUAGUUCAGACUAAGACUCGGAUAUGUUGGUUCACUGUAAUUUUUGGUGGAAUUUAUGUCCAGAGAUUUUUUAUUUACUACAUAUUUGUGAAUUUGGAUUCAUUGUGAAUUUGGAUCCAGGAUUCAUAUUAGUCGCAAUUGUUUAUAUGAUAUUCAAUCGUCUGUAUGCGCUUCAAUCGUACUACUUGCUGACA